rnacentral:lncRNA from 1 species
GCUGGGCAUGGUGGCGCAUGCCUGUAGUCCCAGCUACUCAGGAGGCUGAAGCAGGAGAAUUGCUUGAACCUGGGAGGAGGAGGUUGCAGUGAGCUGAGAUCGUGCCACUGCACUGCAGCCUGACGGCAGAGCAAGACUCAGUCUCAAGAAAAAAAAAGAAGACAGAGUCUUACUCUCUCACCUAGGCUGGAGUACAAUGGCACAGUCACAGUUUACUGCAGCCUUCACCUCCUGGGCUCAAGCGAUCCUCCUGC